rnacentral:rRNA from 1 species
UACGAAGGGGGCUAGCGUUGCUCGGAAUCACUGGGCGUAAAGCGUGCGCAGGCGGUUAUGCAAGACAGAUGUGAAAUCCCCGGGCUUAACCUGGGAACCGCAUUUGUGACUGCAUAGCUGGAGUACGGCAGAGGGGGAUGGAAUUCCGCGUGUAGCAGUGAAAUGCGUAGAUAUGCGGAGGAACACCGAUGGCGAAGGCAGUCCCCUGGGCCUGUACUGACGCUCAUGCACGAAAGCGUGGGGAGCAAACAGG